rnacentral:rRNA from 1 species
GAGGUUGGGAGAGGGAUGCGGAAUUCCAGGUGUAGCGGUGAAAUGCGUAGAUAUCUGGAGGAACACCGGUGGCGAAGGCGGCAUCCUGGACCGACACUGACACUGAGGAGCGAAAGCCAGGGGAGCAAACGGGAUUAGAUACCCCGGUAGUCCUGGCCCUAAACGAUGAAUGCUUGGUGUGGCGGGUAUCGAUCCCUGCCGUGCCGAAGCUAACGCAUUAAGCAUUCCGCCUGGGGAGUACGGUCGCAAGGCUGAAACUCAAAUGAAUUGACGG